rnacentral:sRNA from 1 species
UCUGGGCACUGUGACAUGAGCCUGUAGUCUCACCUAUUUAGGAGGCUGAGGCAGGAGGAACACUUGAGCCCAGGAGUUCAGGUCAGCCUGAACAACAUAAUGAGACUUUGUCUCAA